CUCAUUCCUUUAAAUCUCCCGUUCUCACUCUCUCUCGCGUAUUUCUCCUCCAUUCCUUUUACCCUUGUUCUUUCUUUUUCCACAAAAAGCAAUCUCUCCGCUAUUUGCUCUUUCUUCUUUCCUCAACCACGGCCGCCAAUCUCUGGCCGGAUUACCGCCGCCGAGCUUGAGUCGCCGCCUGUGUGUUGGCGAGUCACUCCAUCGCACCUGCUAUUCGAAUAUCAAUGGAAUUGAAGACAUUGACCGAGGCAUUAAUCGAGAAGUGAUUGAAAGGGUUAUUCAGAAAUAGCCAAGCAGAAUGUUACAAGUUGAAGUAGGACGGAGAUUUGUUAUAGAUAAAAGUGUGUCAGAAGCUGGCAGAAAGGAAUGAUUAUGCGGUAUAUAGUGUUACUAGGAAUCUGAGCUAAACUUUGGAGUUAAGCUAGGAAUAAAGAUGAUUCACUUAAGACUAGGCAAGGAUUGCAAGUGGUUGAGUUUCAAGCAGAUGGACAGGUAGAGUAUUUAGGACGAUGUCAUUAAGACUAGAUGCAGUUGGAGUUCUGCAAUUCAAUUCAGUUGGAAAUUAGAUUUGUUUAUUUGGUUAUCAGCUACUCUUCUUAUAGAGGUUUAGCUGAUAAUGUUGUUUAAUUUGUAAAUAAGAUUUUAUAGUUUUAGUUUCUGAUUUCAA